rnacentral:rRNA from 1 species
AACGAACGCUGGCGGCAGGCUUAACACAUGCAAGUCGAGCGCCGUAGCAAUACGGAGCGGCAGACGGGUGAGUAACGCGUGGGAAUCUACCCAUCACUACGGAACAACUCCGGGCAACUGGAGCUAAUACCGUAUACGUCCUUCGGGAGAAAGAUUUAUCGGUGAUGGAUGAGCCCGCGUUGGAUUAGCUAGUUGGUGGGGCAAUGGCCCACCAAGGCGACGAUCCAUAGCUGGUCUGAGAGGAUGAUCAGCCACACUGGGACUGAGACACGGCCCAGACUCCUACGGGAGGCAGCAGUGGGGAAUAUUGGACAAUGGGCGCAAGCCUGAUCCAGCCAUGCCGCGUGAGUGAUGAAGGCCCUAGGGUUGUAAAGCUCUUUCACCGGUGAAGAUAAUGACGGUAACCGGAGAAGAAGCCCCGGCUAACUUCGUGCCAGCCGCCGCCGUAACAC